CACGUAGGGCGCAAGCGUUGUCCGGAAUUAUUGGGCGUAAAGAGCUCGUAGGCGGUCUGUUACGUCUGCUGUGAAAACCCAGGGCUUAACCCUGGGCUUGCAGUGGAUACGGGCAGACUAGAGGCAGGUAGGGGAGAAUGGAAUUCCCGGUGUAGCGGUGAAAUGCGCAGAUAUCGGGAGGAACACCGGUGGCGAAGGCGGGUCUCUGGGCCGAAACUGACGCUGAGGAGCGAAAGCGUGGGGAGCGAACAGG
rnacentral:rRNA from 1 species